UACGUAGGGUGCGAGCGUUAAUCGGAAUUACUGGGCGUAAAGCGUGCGCAGGCGGUUUUGUAAGUCAGAUGUGAAAUCCCCGGGCUCAACUUGGGAACUGCGUUUGAAACUGCAAGGCUAGAGUAUGGUAGAGGGGGGUAGAAUUCCACGUGUAGCAGUGAAAUGCGUAGAGAUGUGGAGGAAUACCAAUGGCGAAGGCAGCCCCCUGGACUAGUACUGACGCUCAUGUACGAAAGCGUGGGGAGCAAACAGGAUUAGAUACCCGAGUAGUCC
rnacentral:rRNA from 1 species